CUCCAUGAUUAAAUCACCUCCCACCAGGUCUCACCUUUAACAUUCCCUACUACAAUUCCAAAUGAGUAUUGCUAGGGACACAGAAUCAAAUCAUAUUAUUCUGGCUCUUGCUCCCCAAAUAUUGUAUCCUUGUCACACUGCAAAAUACAUUGAUGACUUCUUUACUGUCCCCCAAUGACUUAACUCAUUCCAGCAUUUACUAAAAUGUACGAGGACUUACAGACCCCAUGCAAGUCAAAAACCCAGCAGGCCAGUCAUUGAAUCCUACAGCUCCAAAUCAUCUUUUCUGAAUGGACAUCUCACAUCCAGAGCACAGGCGUGUCAUGGCUGGGCUCCCAAGGCCUUGGGCAGCUCUGCACCUGUGACUGUGCAGGGUCUAUCACCCACAGCUGCCCGCAUGGGCUGGGCUGGUGUUGAGUGCCUGUAGCUUUUCCACACUAAGGGUGCCAGCUGUUGGUGGGUCUAUGAAUCUGGGGUCUGGAGAAUGGUGCCUCCAUAUUUAGGGACUCCAGCCCUAUAUUAUCCUUCUGUACUGCCCUAGUAAAGGUUUCCCAUGAGGCUCUGCCUCUUGGAAAAGCUUCUGCCUCAACACACAGGUUUUCC
rnacentral:lncRNA from 1 species